UGGGUCGAGCGUACUUGUGUUUCCUCGAGCAGGUAAUUGGUGUCUUGAAGUGGGUCUUGUCUUUGCGAUUGGUUAACAGCUACGUCCCUUACUGUAUGAUGUUCUUGCUCUUGGCUAUCUUCUGUCUUCAGAAAUUGAUCUUGCCUUUCUUCUUGUUCAUCAUCUGUGUCCAGAAGUGGAUUUCCUCUCUUUGGGCUGCUAUGAGCGUCAAGAAGUGCAGAUACAAUCUGCAUCGUGCCGGGGAAGGCGACAACACGGAGGUCCUUCGCAAGUUCAGCGGUGACCUUUGCGGCAUAUAAUCUGAUAGUUGUAUCCUUUGGACUUGUCCAAUCCAACAUCCUGAUUAUUCUGGCCACAGUAUUGGUGGAAGUGGUGAGUUUUGACAGGAGUUGUGCCCUGGUUGGCUGCCAUUGCAGAAAGCUGUGCAUCAGACGAAUACCGUGGAGCUGA
rnacentral:rRNA from 1 species